rnacentral:rRNA from 1 species
UACAGAGGUCUCAAGCGUUUGUUCGGAUUCAUUGGGCGUAAAGGGUGCGUAGGCGGCGCGGUAAGUCGGGUGUGAAAUCUCGGAGCUUAACUCCGAAACUGCAUUCGAUACUGCCGUGCUUGAGGACUGGAGAGGAGACUGGAAUUUACGGUGUAGCGGUGAAAUGCGUAGAUAUCGUAAGGAAGACCAGUGGCGAAGGCGGGUUUCUGGACAGUUCCUGACGCUGAGGCACGAAGGCCAGGGGAGCAAACGGG